ACCGUGUAGCUGAACAGCACGAAGGCCAGCAGCUCCCGCAGCACCUUGAGGAAGUGGAUGGCGAAGGAGUCCGGCAUGGCUCUCCCGGCUCCCUGGCUGCUCCCUGCUCCUCCUCGGCCUGGAAGGAGAGGAACAAGUUUUGUCCUGCAGCUGUCCCUCUUGCAGGGGGUUUGCAGGCUGAUCCCGCUGUGAUCCAGGAGCAGGAGCAGAGUGUGUGUGUGUGCAGCCCACGCCAGGACUGAGCUCGAGGUGUGGUCAGCACCGGUUAUGAUCCGACAGCGCCGUGGUGCUCCGAGCAGCCAAACACUCCCCUGCCCCUGGAGGGCUUCUGGCAGCAGCAUUUCCAGAGUGCCACGGAGUCACCACAUCAAAAUGUGCAUUUGUUGAGAUGUAGAGCUCUGCCUCUAACAAAACGUUGUGUCAUCUCACACGUUUUGUUCUGUUAUCUCGAAGGCUGCAGUGCCUCUUGCUGUGUUCCCUGAGUGCCCUGUGCUCUGUGAGCCACCUGGGGAGGAGGAUGCUCACACAGAGCUGGGGCUCAUCCCCUGCGUGGGACUGUGCAGGCUGAGCCAGGAUCUUUUACCAAAAGUCAGUGAGGGCUGAGGGCAGCCCAAUUCCUGUCCCCAGGUCACUGCUGUAGUGUCACCCUUACCCUCCCUCCCAAGGAGUCAUCCCAACCUUUAGAGCUCAAAUGCUGCAGCUCCUUUGCAAUGAGGCGAGGAGGGAGCCAGGCUCUGUUUAUUCUUAGCAAAACUGCUUCUGAUAAUGUUGUAUGAAAAGUAAAAGUCAUUUGGGGCAGAGGUUGGCUAAUAUUUUAUUUUUUUUUGGUAGUAAUGCAGACAGCAGAGAGAAGGAAGAUUACAUACUGCAAAUCAAAUCUCUUACCUACAAAGAUAUUAUGAUGUAGAAAAUGGUCCCUUAAUUUAAUUAGGUUCUCUUGUUAUCGAAUUAUUACCCGCAUGGUCAGCAGGGCCUUGGACAGACACAGAACAUCAUCAGCUGCCCAGGAAGCCUGUUAAAUAGUAAUUGCUCCUCCGGGGAAUUGAUCAGCGUCAGGAUGGCUUUUUUUCUGUUGUUGAAUAGUUCCAGGAAGAGGCUUUGUCUAGGUGGAGUGGUUACACGGUUCUAGCUCAGUGCUGGUGCAGGAUGCAAAAAAAGAGGCAGCAAUGUUGGUGAUGAAUUCAGAGUUUAGCAAGUGUCUGGUGUAAACUCCUACCAAAAAAAGUUUUGUCUGUGUUGCUGAUUGCUGGCCAGGGGAAAGGUGAGACAGUCUUUGUUUUCCUUUAUUCACCUGUAGUGUGGCUUUUACACAGCAGGACUUUAGCUCAGAAACCAGACAGGUCAGUAUGUCCUUAGGAUUAGUUCAACUGUUAAGAUUUAAAAAAAACAAACCCCAAAACCAAACCAAAACAACCCCCCACAAAAACAAAACCAAAAAAACCCAAACCAAAAAACCCACAAAAUAAAACAACAAAAAACGCCCCCAAACUGGAAAUUACUACAAAGACCCUCAAGGCCAACCCA